AGUGAACGCUGGCGGUAGGCCUAACACAUGCAAGUCGAACGGCAGCACAGUAAGAGCUUGCUCUUACGGGUGGCGAGUGGCGGACGGGUGAGGAAUACAUCGGAAUCUACUUUUUCGUGGGGGAUAACGUAGGGAAACUUACGCUAAUACCGCAUACGACCUACGGGUGAAAGCAGGGGAUCUUCGGACCUUGCGCGACUGAAUUAGCCGAUGUCGGAUUAGCUAGUUGGCGGGGUAAAGGCCCACCAAGGCGACGAUCCGUAGCUGGUCUGAGAGGAUGAUCAGCCACACUGGAACUGAGACACGGUCCAGACUUCUACGGGAGGCAGCAGUGGGGAAUAUUGGACAAUGGGCGCAAGCCUGAUCCAGCCAUACCGCGUGGGUGAAGAAGGCCUUCGGGUUGUAAAGCCCUUUUGUUGGGAAAGAAAAGCAGCAGGUUAAUACCCCGCUGUUCUGACGGUACCCAAAGAAUAAGCACCGGCUAACUUCGUG
rnacentral:rRNA from 1 species